UACGAAGGGGGCUAGCGUUGUUCGGAAUUACUGGGCGUAAAGCGCACGUAGGCGGGUGGUUAAGUUAGGGGUGAAUCCCGGAGCUCAACUCCGGAACUGCCUUUGAUACUGGCCAUCUAGAGAUCGGAAGAGGUGAGUGGAAUUCCCAGUGUAGAGGUGAAAUUCGUAGAUAUCGGGAGGAACACCAGUGGCGAAGGCGACUACCUGGACUGAUACUGACACUGAGGUGCGAAAGCGUGGGGAGCAAACAGGAUUAGAAA
rnacentral:rRNA from 1 species